UAGGGGAUAUUAGAAAUGGACGAAAGUCUGAUCUAGCAACACCGCGUGUGCGAAGAAGGCCUUCGGGUCGUAAAGCACUUUUUGGAAGGAAUAGGAAGGAAUGUACUUCCAGAAUAAGUCUCGGCUAACUACGUGCCAGCAGCCGCGGUAACACGUAGGAGGCGAACGUUAUCCGGAUUUACUGGGCGUAAAGCGCGUGUAGGUGGUUUGGUAAGUAGAGCGUGAAAGCUCCUGGCUCAACUGGGAGAGGUCGUUCUAAACUGCCGGACUAGAGGAUGGUAGAGGGAGGUGGAAUUCCGGGUGUAGCGGUGGAAUGCGCAGAUAUCCGGAGGAACACCAGUGGCGAAAGCGGCCUCCUGGCCCAUUUCUGACGCUCAGACACGAAAGCUAAGGUAGCAAACG
rnacentral:rRNA from 1 species